rnacentral:rRNA from 1 species
UACGAAGGGGGCUAGCGUUGCUCGGAAUGACUGGGCGUAAAGGGCGCGUAGGCGGAUUGCUUUGUCGGGCGUGAAAUUCCAGGGCUCAACCUUGGGGCUGCGUUCGAGACGGGUUAUCUAGAGUUUGGAAGAGGGUCGUGGAAUUCCCAGUGUAGAGGUGAAAUUCGUAGAUAUUGGGAAGAACACCGGUGGCGAAGGCGGCGACCUGGUCCUUGACUGACGCUGAGGCGCGAAAGCGUGGGGAGCAAACGGG